rnacentral:rRNA from 1 species
AGAGUUUGAUCCUGGCUCAGGAUGAACGCUGGCGGCGUGCCUAACACAUGCAAGUCGAGCGAUUCUCUUCGGAGAAGAGCGGCGGACGGGUGAGUAACGCGUGGGUAACCUGCCCUGUACACACGGAUAACAUACCGAAAGGUAUGCUAAUACGAGAUAAUAUACUUUUAUCGCAUGGUAGAAGUAUCAAAGCUCCGGCGGUACAGGGAUGGACCCGCGUCUGAUUAGCUAGUUGGUAAGGUAACGGCUUACCAAGGCGACGAUCAGUAGCCGACCUGAGAGGGUGAUCGGCCACAUUGGAACUGAGACACGGUCCAAACUCCUACGGGAGGCAGCAGUGGGGAAUAUUGCACAAUGGGCGAAAGCCUGAUGCAGCAACGCCGCGUGAGCGAUGAAGGCCUUCGGGUCGUAAAGCUCUGUCCUCAAGGAAGAUAAUGACGGUACUUGAGGAGGAAGCCCCGGCUAACUACGUGCCAGCAGCCGCGGUAAUACGUAGGGGGCUAGCGUUAUCCGGAAUUACUGGGCGUAAAGGGUGCGUAGGUGGUUUCUUAGGUCAGAGGUGAAAGGCUACGGCUCAACCGUAGUAAGCCUUUGAAACUGGGAAACUUGAGUGCAGGAGAGGAGAGUGGAAUUCCUAGUGUAGCGGUGAAAUGCGUAGAUAUUAGGAGGAACACCAGUUGCGAAGGCGGCUCUCUGGACUGUAACUGACACUGAGGCACGAAAGCGUGGGGAGCAAACAGGAUUAGAUACCCUGGUAGUCCACGCCGUAAACGAUGAGUACUAGCUGUCGGAGGUUACCCCCUUCGGUGGCGCAGCUAACGCAUUAAGUACUCCGCCUGGGAAGUACGCUCGCAAGAGUGAAACUCAAAGGAAUUGACG